CCUCGCGGGUGCGCGCGCAUCUUGCUGGGGCAUGGCCGAGCUGGGGCGGUGCUUUCUCGGGAAGAGGGUUAAUCGAGGGAGGGUCCCUUGACUGACGGAGUGACUUGGCGCGUGCGCAGGGGCGGCUCCGCCCUUUCGCGCCUCGGGCGGCUUGGGGUCGGCUAGGCCUGCUUCUGUCCCGAGUUAACCGCGAAGUGCCCGCGAGGAGGGUAGCUGCCCUGGAGCCGCAGGGAUGGUGGGCGCGGGGAGAUUCGGCUCCUGGCUCCGUGAAGCCGUCGAGGCCCCCUUUGGACCACAUCGAGGUCUUUUGCCGCCUCUCCGUCGGACUUGGCUAACUCGCCGGUUUCCAGUACUGAAGUCAUCACCAGAGUGAAACAUACUCACAUGUGAUCAAAUUAGCCUUACCAUUUGGGAAGUGUUACAGGUUUUUCUUCAGAGAUGUAAAGUGAUUAUCAAGCUCUGGAACAUUUAAAGUUUUGUUGAACUGGCCAUGAAGCUACAGCUAUUCAGCAGUAUUGAAAUGUAAUAAAUCAAUCGUUCAUAGCGCUUGAAAGAUAAAGUGUGCCAAUUUAAUUUCCAGUAGAAAACUGUAAAUUGAAUCCUUAUGUAAAUAGUUACUUUGUGGCAGAUUUUGUAGCAGUUCCAAAUUGUCUUAGAGCCUCCUUUGCCUUAUUAGGCACAGAGGAGAAAUGCAAACAACUGCUCAUGUGGCUUAGAAAUUCAGGGUGCUUCGCUAAACCCUUCUAAAGUCUUUAUGCUGUUACAAAUCUAGAGUUCUAUUUCUCUAUGGUUGUAGCUUGUAUAUUAAACAACCUUCAUCUGUAAAUUUAGAGAUGUCCUCAUUUACACUGAACUGUAAUUACGUUAAAAUCAGUCUGUCAAUGACUAACAAGUAUUUCUUUUAGGUGUUAGUGGUACAAAAAGAAUGGAAAAUGAUGGAUUAUUCUGCACCUUCUUACAGGUGAACCCUGGUAGAAGAAUAAUGCUCGAGUACUGCAAUAAGAACACAGGUGGCAGGGCCUUUAUUGAGGAACAACUGGAAGCAUUCAAGAAUUCUUCUUUUGACCAGUGGAAACACACAGACCCUGUCCAGCUUUCUCCUGGAGGACUUCAGCUAUUGGGCAGUAGAGAAAGCAGAUGGAUAAAUGCAAAUGAGAAACAGCCCUCCUCAACAGCAGACCAACUUUGCAUCAGCUGCAUCAGAUAUACGCUUGUUUUCUGGCUCAAUUUAAAGCACAAGUACUAACUAUAAAGCGCUUAAGAUCCAGCGACCUGUUUGUUUGAAGCACCACCUACACCAGCUUCCCCCAGCGUGGUGCCCCAUGGAUAUGCUUGACUACAGCUCCCUCCAGCCAGCAUGACGACGCUGGCUGCAGAAGGCAGAACUUGAUCGCUCAUCUGGAGGGUACCAGGUUGGCUACUCGGCUGAGUUGCAACAGUUUGAAUCUACCCUUGGGCAUUUUGUUCUCAUGCCCAUCACUAAGAUGGAUCUGGUUGCAGGCAUCGAGGAUGGGACCUUUUCAGCAGUAGCCAUGCCAUGGCAUUUCUAACGUGCCUCUAAAAAAUGUGAUGCAGAAGCUGUUUGACGUAUCCAUAGAAAUCACAACUGUCAGUUGCCUUGGGAGAUCUUGCCUCCAAAGGUGGGAUAGAAAUAGUGGGGUGCACCCCACAACUGGGGGAGCUGAAGUUAGGUGUGAUGAUAGAGUUCGGAGUAGGAAGGUUCGUAGCACUAUCCUCUCCUGGAGUAGAGAGCUGAUCUCGGUUUUACCAUCUGGGGCAGCCCUGUUUUGGGAAUGUAAUGCAGAGCUCAUUUCCUCUUCAGUCAUAAAUCUGGCCUUGGCUGGCUGAAGUUAAGCUUGUGUGCUCAAUGAAUCAGUGAGACUUCUUCUCUGGAAGAGCGAGCCCGAACUGAGCGAUCCGCUAAGAUGUUAUCUCAGAAGCACCGAACCUCUUCCAACAAAGGACUCAAUUUCAUGUCAGAGAAAUUCCCAAUGGCUGCAUUCCAGUGGGGGGAGGGAGGCAAAAGGAAAGAGGGCAAAAUACCAAAAAAGCCUGCCAAUUUUAGCCCGAAGUUCCUACUGCCACUCACUUAAGCCUUAGGAGAAGGACUGCAGUAAUUUAGCAUGGGGGGAAACUGCACAAAAGCCAGGAAACCAGCAAAUGAUCACAGAUAAAGGAUUAUGGGAAAGGCAUGGUCAUCAGGGGAGUGCAGGUGGGCCAGGUUUCACACCUGGGCCUGCAGUUCUGCACCUGAAACUGCAGAUAGAGGAAUAUAUUCUUGUUCCCAGCCUUUCAUAAACCUGGUUUCAGUAAUGUUAGUUGAUGCAGGGAAGAGAUGGCGACUGCAGCUUUGGCCCACUUCCUCCACUUCUUUGUCAUGGCAAGGGCGGAGCAAAGCAGCAGGGCCACUGACUUCAUACUGUAAAAUGUGUCUGCAUUUAAAUGUACACUUGGGGUGGGGUGGCUUGGAGCCAAGCCACUAGGUCACUCCCUCUGAAAGUGGAAAGGAAUUCAUUCUGCCACCAUGAAGUGCCCUUUUCUGUUUCAUCUGGGCCAUUAAAUGCAUAAAUCUUAUAUGUGCUUCAGAAACUGAGUCCAGGUGUUCAUUAGCUAUCUGAACAUACGUUCAGGUUCAAAUCCUGCCACUUCCCCUACCCUGUGUGUUUUGUUAUGGCUGGACACACAAAAAAAGUUCUCAGAGGGAGCACCUGUGAAUGCAAAAUAAUAGGACCCCCAGGGUAUAGAAUGGGCUUCCACGGGAGGUGG